rnacentral:rRNA from 1 species
UACGGAGGGUGCAAGCGUUAUCCGGAUUUACUGGGUUUAAAGGGUGCGUAGGUGGGUCUGUAAGUCAGUGGUGAAAUCUUCGAGCUUAACUCGGAAACUGCCAUUGAUACUAUAGGUCUUGAAUUAUCUGGAGGCAAGCGGAAUAUGUCAUGUAGCGGUGAAAUGCUUAGAUAUGACAUAGAACACCAAUUGCGAAGGCAGCUUACUACGGAUCGAUUGACACUGAGGCACGAAAGCGUGGGGAGCAAGCAGG